rnacentral:rRNA from 1 species
UACAGAGGAUGCAAGCGUUAUCCGGAAUGAUUGGGCGUAAAGCGUCUGUAGGUGGCUUUUAAGUCCACCGUCAAAUCCCAGGGCUCAACUCUGGACAGGCGGUGGAAACUACCAAGCUGGAGUACGGUAGGGCAGAGGGAAUUCCGGUGGAGCGGUGAAAUGAGUAGAGAUCGGAAAGAACACCAACGGCGAAAGCACUCUGCUGGGCCGACACUGACACUGAGAGACGAAGCUAGGAGAGCGA